GUCAUUGUGAUACAAUAGGAUUUCUGAUGAUUUGCCAAAUUCUUAGGUUUGGGAAACUCCGGUGCAAUACCGGGACUGUGCCGCAGCUGUAAGGCAAUCUCGGGUUUUGGACUCCCAAUUGGGGAAUGUCUAAAAUCUGAAGUUGCACAAGUCAGAAUGCCACUUCUAAGAACUGAGCCUAC
rnacentral:ncRNA from 1 species